rnacentral:rRNA from 1 species
GACGAACGCUGGCGGCGUGCUUAACACAUGCAAGUCGAGCGGUAAGGCCUCUUCGGGGGUACACGAGCGGCGAACGGGUGAGUAACACGUGGGUGACCUGCCCUCAGUUCUGGGAUAAGCCUGGGAAACUGGGUCUAAUACCGGAUAUGACCACAUGUUGCAUGGUGUGUGGUGGAAAGUUUUUUCGGCUGGGGAUGGGCCCGCGGCCUAUCAGCUUGUUGGUGGGGUGAUGGCCUACCAAGGCGACGACGGGUAGCCGGCCUGAGAGGGCGACCGGCCACACUGGGACUGAGACACGGCCCAGACUCCUACGGGAGGCAGCAGUGGGGAAUAUUGCGCAAUGGGCGGAAGCCUGACGCAGCGACGCCGCGUGGGGGAUGACGGCCUUCGGGUUGUAAACCUCUUUCGACCGGGACGAAGCGUAAGUGACGGUACCGGUAGAAGAAGCACCGGCCAACUACGUG